rnacentral:rRNA from 1 species
GAACGAGAAAGGGGAGCAAUCCCUGAGUACAGUGGCGUACGGGUGAGUAACACGUGGGUAAUCUGCCCUUUGGUGGGGAAUAACCCUGGGAAACCGGGGCUAAUACCGCAUAAGUCCGAGAGGAGAAAGCAGCAAUGCGCCGAAGGAGGAGCCCGCGGCCGAUUAGCUAGUUGGUAGGGUAAGAGCCUACCAAGGCAAAGAUCGGUAGCCGGCCUGAGAGGGCACACGGCCACACUGGCACUGAAACACGGGCCAGACUCCUACGGGAGGCAGCAGUGGGGAAUCUUGCACAAUGGGGGAAACCCUGAUGCAGCGACGCCGCGUGAGCGAUGAAGCCCUUCGGGGUGUAAAGCUCUUUCGGCAGGGAAGAUGAUGACGGUACCUGCAGAAGCAGCUGCGGCUAACUACGUG